rnacentral:rRNA from 1 species
ACGAACGCUGGCGGCGUGCUUAACACAUGCAAGUCGAACGGAAAGGCCCUGCUUUUGUGGGGUGCUCGAGUGGCGAACGGGUGAGUAACACGUGAGUAACCUGCCCUUGACUUUGGGAUAACUUCAGGAAACUGGGGCUAAUACCGGAUAGGAGCUCCUGCUGCAUGGUGGGGGUUGGAAAGAUUCGGCGGUGGGGGAUGGACUCGCGGCUUAUCAGCUUGUUGGUGGGGUAGUGGCUUACCAAGGCUUUGACGGGUAGCCGGCCUGAGAGGGUGACCGGCCACAUUGGGACUGAGAUACGGCCCAGACUCCUACGGGCGGCAGCAGUGGGGAAUAUUGCACAAUGGGCGGAAGCCUGAUGCCGCAACGCCGCGUGCGGGAUGACGGCCUUCGGGUUGUAAACCGCUUUCGCCUGUGACGAAGCGUGAGUGACGGUAAUGGGUAAAGAAGCACCGGCUAACUACGUG